UUGAUCGACCGUCUCUCUUUCUCUCUCAAUUCUUCUUCCGCUCACCAUCUCUUCUAUAGCCGACACCUCCAUCUGCCAUCCCUCGCGGCAUGUGACUUGACGGACGACGGUUGCACGUUGACGCAACCCAGCAACCACCGUGCAUCUCUCCCUGGUGCGAUUGGAGCGUCAUGACUGCCAACGCCACAUCCACUGUUGUCGCGCCGCCCAUCUAACUGAAUGACAGCCACUCCUGGUGCGAUUUAACUCAUCGCUUAUUUCCUGCCACACGCAACUGUUCGAAGCCAUCAGAGCAAUAGUCUUCGCUAUAGUGUUUUUGUGGGUAGUUGGAUCUUGGAGUGGGUAUGGUUUUGCUUGUUUUAGAGUAUUUUAGUUGGGUUCGUGGAAGAUUUUCAAUUACCCAUUAAGUUUCAACUCGAUUUUCACAAUACCCAUUACUCUUUGAUGUUAGAUUUGAUUAUUAAAGGAUUUUGUGUCGCUGUUCAGCCAUUCGAAAACUCAAAAUUGAGCGUUUUUUGCACAACUUGGGUAACAAACAAAGGCCAAGUACUGGUUAAUCUCUCGUCAUCGAUUAUAGAUCUCUAUUAUUCUUUUUGUAUGUAUAUAGUUAUCUUUUGUAUUGUAUCAUGGAGAGGUUAGAUGUAGCAAGAGUGGGGCUAAGAAUUUGUGAUUGGGAAAAAAUCCGUCUUUAGAUUGAACUAUUUUGUAUGACAUAUGUAGUUUGAACAUGAUUUUCUGCCUGAAACUAUGAAACUAUCUAGAUAAGUGUGUGGUGAGACACAUUUGUUGUAUUGUGGAGUUUUGAAGUUACAUUCAUAUAUAGAAGUGCAAAAUCUAUUGCCUUUACUGGUUUGGCUA